rnacentral:lncRNA from 12 species
AUGGCUCCUUCUUUUUUUUUUUUUAAUUUUUAUUUAUUUAUGAUAGUCACAGAGAGAGAGAGAGAGAGAGAGGCAGAGGCACAGGCAGUGGGAGAAGCAGGCUCCAUGCACCGGGAGCCCGACGUGGGAUUCGAUCCUGAAUCUUCAGGAUCACGCCCUGGGCCAAAGGCAGGCGCCAAACCGCUGCGCCACCCAGGGAUCCCCAUCAUGGCUCCUUCUGAAGAACUCCUUAGGAGAAACAGCUCUGUAGGUGAUGGGGACCACAGCCAUGUGGGCAGUGCUGCAAGGGGGACCUCCAGGGUGCUGCGGGAGAACAUGGAAGGAAUGGCAGGUCAACGCUACAGUUGAUGUGGUCGAUGGAAAUUCUACAGGGUCAUGAGAAAAAGCAGCACCUUGUCCAUACAAGUCCAUGGAAGUUUGCUCCUUAACACGCUAUUAAAGCAAAACGCACGUCUUUAACAGCUUCCACCUAUGGAAUAUCUGCGUGCAGUCGUCCAACCGGGUGAUUAUAAAGAGGAACACCAAGGCUUCAUAUUCACAAUUACAUUCAGAAAAAGCCUUACACGAGUCUAUGAAUACCUGCCAGGGACUGUGCCUGUGGUUCAAGUGUCAGCCUCAGACUGCAGGUCAGCUAUGAAGAAACACCCCUUCUACACAGAACAUUCCUCCACAACUCCAAAAGUUGACACUGUCCGGUUCAUGUAAAUUUGUCUUGAAAUAAUGAUCAUGUUCAUUAGAAACAGAAACAGAAACAGAACAAACCCCACAAACACCAAGCUGUUCUGAUUUGAAGAGACACUAGAGAUAAUAAAAGUCUUUCUACUAGUAGGAUCUCCCA